CUGCAUGCUCCCAGGUUGAGGUAGUAGGUUGUAUAGUUCAGAAUUACAUCAAGGGAGAUAACUGUACAGCCUCCUAGCUUUCCUUGGGUCUUGCAC
rnacentral:miRNA from 1 species